GUUUCUCUUUCUCCAAUUUCUUCUAGUAUAAAUUUUUUCUAGUAUCAAAUAUCUGCUCGCAUUGUUUCAAGAGAUUUUAGAGCUUUAUAAUCCUCACUGCAAUUCACCAAAUCUGCAAGUUCUCACUUUUCUUUCCUACUUCCAUAUCUUUUAUUUCUUUCUUUUCCUAUUUCCUAAUUUAUUUUCCUUAUAAUUUGAUCUUCAGUUUUGAUUCAGUGUAGCUUUUAUCUAAAUUGUGAUUGAAAAUUUAUCAGGAUAUUUUCAAUGGCUUCCAUGAACAACGAAAGAGCCUCAUCAUCUUCCUCUUCCUCCCAUCGAUUGACAUACGAAGUAUUCCUUAGUUUUUGAGGUGAGGACACCCUCAAUGGUUUUACAAGCCAUUUAUAUACUACGUUGGAUCAAAAGGGCAUUUACACCUUUAUAUACUACGUAUGGUAUAUAAGAAAGGCAAUGAAGAUGUCAAUAGAAGUAUGGCUUAGUGUAGCAACAAUAGCAACAUUCCUUAUAAGGGUUUGGAUGUUCUCCUUCAUAAAUUCAGCUAUGCCAAGCAAACCCGUGAUGACUAUGAUGGAGUUGGACCUAAUGGAGAAGGAAGCUCUAACGAUGUACCACACCCAAAACGGAAUGUGACCAAAACGGAUUGUGAGGAGUCAAUUGAGUACAGAGAAUGUGGUGAGGAAUUAAGCAACUGGGAGGAAUCUAGUGAAAGUGACCAGGAAGGUUAAUCAACUUUUCUCUCUACAUUACCUGCAAACAACCAUGUAGAAAAGGUUGAAAAAUGGAGAAGGUAACAGUUGGAGCUAUGCCAGAAAGCUUUGGAGGAUAUAAUUUUUUAUUUGGGGCAGGUUGUGGGAAGACCCACAUUUCUGUACUGCUUAUACAUGAGCUGAGUCCCUUAAUAAGGAAUCCCCAGAAGAACAUAUGCAUCUUUCUCGCCCAUACAGUGGCUCUGAUUGAGCAGGUAAGGUACUAUUUAUCUUGUUUGAUUUUGUAAUUUGAUGUUUAGUUUAAAGUUGUAUUUAAGUUGGAGACAAUUUUUGUAGUUUAUAUUGCUGAUUCAUUGCACAAUAAUGGAGUGGUGUUCUCCUUGGCUUGGCUGAAGUGGUAGGUGUGCAGGCCUUGAUAUGGGGGUUAGGCUAUAGGUUUUCAGUGCUCAUGUAUGCAAUU